GUGUGCGGCGCCCUGAAGUAUGUGUGGAGGCAGACCGUCGGCGGUGUCGUUAAGGAUGGCUGAGUCGGCGAAGAUGCGCUGAUACAAGUGCAAAGCUCGUGCUGUAUUUCAGUUAAUGAGUAAUCUUACAUCUCAGGGUUGUGGCAAAGAGCUCAGUAAAUGACGCUGAUGCUGUUGCUGUUGCAAAAUUGCGUCGGAAAUUGAGAGUUCGUGGCAGAUAAAAGUGUAGGCGGCUGUAAAUAUGAGUGUAUACAAUUAUUGACUCAUAAAUGACGCAGAAUUCGUUACCGAAAUGACGCAUAUGUCGCCGGUAAUCAUUUUAUCGGCAAUUAUUCAAGUCUUUUUUCCUUUUUUCCAUCAAUAAAUAAAUUGAAUGAGAGCAAA